rnacentral:siRNA from 1 species
AUAUUGUGGGGAUAUGACCGUUGC